rnacentral:rRNA from 1 species
GUCUACAGUCAUGCCACCCUGAACAAGCCCGAUCUCGUCUGAUCUCGGAAGCUAAGCAGGGUCGGGCCUGGUUAGUACUUGGAUGGGUGACUGCCUGGGAAUACCGGGUGCCGUAGGCA